UAGAAAAAGAAAAGAAAAGCAAGCGACAAACAACGUAACAGCCCAUGCUAUCUUGAGUAGCCCAAUUGCAAUUCAAGAUAACCGAUUAGCCAAAUGCUGACACCGGCGCCUAUCAAUGACAAAACUGUUAGCCCCACCUUUGCAACUAUAAAUACCCACUUUGAGUCCCACUCAUUCAACACUCAUACACACAUACCACACACAUACAUUGUAUUAUUCAAGAAAGAUGAAGGGUGUAGCGGUAUGUGUCUUGAUGGUGCUAGCUGUGGCCCACCUGAUGGUCGAGCCCGGCCACGCCAUCGCAUGUGGUGAUGUGACCAAAUGCAUAGGACCAUGUGUUCCCUUCCUGACAGGGUCACAGCCAAAUCCAGGCAACGCGUGCUGUGCCGGCGUCAAUCAGCUUAAGGGCUUGGCACCCACCACUGCCGACAGGCGUGCUGCAUGUGCCUGCGUGAAAACUGCUGCAGCCAACUUCAAAAACCUAAACGCCGACGCAGUGAGCUCAUUACCGGCCCAGUGUGGCACACCCCUCCCCUUCCCCAUCAACAAGGAUACCAAUUGCGAAAUAAUCCCUUGAAUUGGAGUUUGUUUGAGGGAGAAAUAAAGAGAGGAGUGUGCUAGCGCGUCGCUACCUUAUCUACCAAGCACAUGAUCAUGGUGAAUGGAUAUGUAAUGAGAAAUAAGUUGCUUUAGGAUGUAUUAGGCUUACGUAUGUAUGGACUUUCAUCUUCCGUAUGAAGCUGAUAUUGGAUGAAAUGGUGGUAACCAGGUCUCUCUGUGUAUGCAAGAACCUUGGUCAGUAGAAACUUGAUGUUUAACGAUGUUUAAUAAAAGUGGGUCCGGAUCUACUGCAAAGCUCCGUGGAGUGGGUACGUAUAUAUUUUCUAUACCCAUGGCAUUUUCAUCGAAUAAAUUGUAUCUCUUUCCAAUUUA